UACGUAGGUGGCAAGCGUUGUCCGGAUUUACUGGGCGUAAAGGGCGUGCAGGCGGUUUGUUAAGUGCAGGGUGAAAGCUCCCGGCUCAACUGGGAGAGGUCCUUGCAUACUGGCAAACUCGAGGGAGGCAGAGGAAAGUGGAAUUCCCGGUGUAGUGGUGAUAUGCGUAGAUAUCGGGAGGAACAUCUGUGGCGAAGGCGGCUUUCUGGGCCUUACCUGACGCUGAGACGCGAAAGCGUGGGGAGCGAACCGG
rnacentral:rRNA from 1 species